UACGGAGGGGGCUAGCGUUGUUCGGAAUUACUGGGCGUAAAGGGCGCGUAGGCGGGAUGGCAAGUCGGUCGUGAAAUCCCUCGGCUCAACCGAGGAACGUCGAUCGAUACUGCUGUUCUUGAGGAUUGCAGAGGAGACUGGAAUUCCCGGUGUAGCGGUGAAAUGCGCAGAUAUCGGGAGGAACACCAAUGGCGAAGGCAGCUCGCUGGGACGUUACUGACGCUGAGACGCGAAAGCGUGGGGAGCAAACAGG
rnacentral:rRNA from 1 species